UAAAUAUAUUCCUUUGCUUUCCAUUUGUUCCUUCACUCUUGGCAAGAGAAAUGCAGUGAAGGAGCAGAGAAGUGCUGUGGAGAAGUUCUGCUCAGUUGUUAUCCAAGUCCCUUGGCACAAGGUAUACAAAAAACUCCAGAGAAGCCAAACCCAGAGCUAUCUGUCAGCAGGCUCUGAGAAUCAGUGGUCUGUAGCUGCCUGCAGAUUCUCCAUUUCCCCCACUCGCUCAUCAUCCCCUGCAAUAAUUGCUUUGCCAAUAAGAAAGGAGUUGAUGGGACCAUAUCUAAAACAAAAAGUCACUGUUUUUCUUCUGGCAAGUGGGGUAGCGUUCUGCCAAGCUCCAUCCACAAAUGAAAUUGUGUAUUUAAUGUAUCCUCCUUGUAGGGGACAGUGAAGACUUUCAACACAUUACCAUACUGUUUGGGCUAACUUCUGUCUUCAAGACUUUGAACAUAUCUCCUGAGCUCCCUACAGUCACUUUCAUUCCUGGUUGGUUAAUGCUUGGCUCUUCUUAGGUUGAAUGAAAACCUAUUCAGUCUUUCUCAGACAAAACUCAUCAACAACAAGAGUGAUGCACCGCAACAGGAUUUCUCAGCACCAUUUCACUGAAACAAUAAUGAUGGCAUCAUGUAUUUGAAAUAGUAUCUUGCUGAAAUGAAUGUGAAGGUUUGUAAGGAUUGCUACAUGUGCUGUAUGGUCUGAGAUGGAUACCCUCUACUCUGCUGGUGCAAGGGGAAAUGCAAGAGAUCUCUGCUCCUGGGUGAUUUUGUCAAGGCUAUCAUAAUAAGCAGAUGAUUGGAAACACUGGCAAAAGCUUCAACUUUUUAUUUAAAUUGAAUUGAAAAAAAAUGGUGCAUAACAAACUUGCUCAGUUUAAACCUUAGCUUUGUAACCUGCUGGUAAAGACAUCUUUAGAUGAGGUAGCCAUGAACAACUGAGCAUAGUUCGGAAUCCAAAAUGACUUAGUCUGUUGAGCUACAAUGACAAGUCAUUUUUUCAUUAGUAGUUUCUUUGCUGAUUCCAAUAACUCCUGAAUUUGUAAAUUCAGGUCAUCUCAUUUGAACCAUACAUUUCAAGUGAAUAUUAAUUUGAUAAUUUAAACUUCAACACUGCCACAUUGGUGUUUGGUGUAUAUCUUUAUCUGUCUAUCACUUUAAAAACAAGUCCUGAAUUUUGUAAAUGUGUAAAAAUACAAAUAAGUCAAUGCAUGAACUUCCCAGCCUUCUCAAUGCUGUUUUAAUUCCACUACUAAACAAUAUCAAUAAGGAUUAUUUUGCUAUUUGCCAAGUCAGAGGUCUAGAAAAACUAAUGGAAAGGUCAUAUUUUAUACGGCUACUAAGUUGUCUGAGGAAUUCACCAAUUCCCUGAGUUUAAUUUUUUUUUUUUUUUUUUUGGUACUGAAAGGUUAAUUCAAAUGACAAUAUGUUCUAUUCGUGUUUACAAGGUAAAAAAUGAAAUAAAAGGCAUUCCCUUACAUAAAAUGACAGGUAAAAUACCAAUUUUGUUAGGGAUAGCUGGAGAAUUUCCAGAACAAAAACCUUCAAUUCAUCUGUGAUUUAUUUUUUUUUCCUAAUGAAUAUAAAAGGGGUUAGCAAAUCAUUUAUUUUCAGAAGAAGUUUCCAAUUAAAGCUAAAAAUAUAUAUUUAUCAGAAAUUAAAACAGUCUUUAGCGAUUGGAUAAAUAUUGGGCUAGAUCUCUAUUUAAAAACGUUUUCUUAAAUAAAAUGGGCUGAUAUUCACUUGAAUAAAUAAUAACUGACACCUCUGAGAGUCAGCUUAUUCAGUUAGGUGUACCUAAAGACCCUCUGAGGUUAUGGCAUCAGCAGAUUGGUCUAAGAAACAAACACCCCUGUUUCCAGUCCUUUAGCCCAACCCAAAGGAUCCAGUGUCCUCUGGGUUGGGCUAAAGGACUGGAAUCCUUAUAUGAUCCAGAGAUCAUAUCUCUGUUUGCCAGAUGUAGUAGUUCCCAGCCUUUCGAUCAGCUCCAUGAAACUCCUGGGAAUUUCACCCCGCAAAUAAACUGUGAAGAUCUAGCAGCUAUUAAGCUAUUGACUAACUAGAGAUGUUCAGGCAGUGUACUUACAGACAGCGACCAACAACCAGUUGGAGACAAUCAGGCUGAUUUUCCUGUGGAGUGGGAGAACAUCACUGAUGACUGUGCUCAGAUGUGACUCCCCAGCAUGUGGGAUGUUUGAGGAAAAAGAAGGGUAUGGCAGGGUUGAUUCUGUAGCCCUGAAUGAGGUCACUGUUUGUUUAUCCAUGAAAAUGGAGGUCAGCCUUAAGUUAUAUGAAGGUAUAGAAUGUUUAAUCAUCAUCACCUUCUCUGGAGAGGUUUUUGUCCUCCACCCCCUUCCCUUCUUUCUCCUGCUCCUCUCUGUUCUUCUUCCUUUCUGAUGGCGUGCAAGGAGUCAAGUUCCUCUGAAGUACCUCACAUCCUCACCUUAUCCAUCUCUUGUUGAGACAACCAUGCUUUCUCUCCCAUCUUUAGUUGUGUUGCAGGUACCUUGAUUCAGUUUUGUCUGACUCAAUCACUCAGCUAGCUUCCUUUGCCUCAGGACAGUCAUUGUCAAUGGCUUUGGGGAAUCUGUGCUGGAGCACUGGAGCACAGCAGUGAUGUGGUUUGCCUGAACUAUGCAGGGCAUGGUAAGGGUUAUGAAUUUUUGGCAUUUCCCCCAUGUUUUUCCACGAGCAUGGCCCAGAAAAAGCCUCCAACUAAGCAAUGUAAACAUUUGAGGAAUGUGACCUGCAGAGUGCUGCCACAUGCCAUGUAGCAGGAGAGCACAGAUACAGCCAAUGAUUUGAGAUAGACUGUCUAACUGAGCACACUGCUUCACUGGGGCUCACGUUUGCAAUGCUGUACAAUAUUUUCGUUAUAAAAUAACACACAUAUCAGUAAUAAAAUGAAAGCUUCUGUGGCAAGUGAUGAGAGUUAAAUUUCUGCAAGUAAGGAUCAUGACAUUUUUUGUCUGAAAGCAUUUAUAGGCAGUAUUAAACUGAUUAAAGGAUGUAAGAAAAGAAUAUCAUUUUUAAAGUUUCAGCAUUUCUGAGAGGCCCAUGAAAUCACAAUUUCAACCCACAGCCUUCUUAAGACACUAAAAACAUUCCUUUUUCUCAUCAGAAUGUAAGUAAAACCUUUGAAGAGUAGGAGGACUGAAGUAAAAGAUCAGAAGAAGUAAAAGACCCAUGGAGAACAAGAAGUAUGUAGGGCAUUUGCUUGGCAAAUCAGAAACAGGUAGUCAUUUUAGGGCUCUGCCUUAUUCAGGCUGGGGAUUAAUCCUCAUUGGAAUAAUGCAGAAUAGAUCCUCUCAUUUUAACCUAUGUCCAUUUAGAAACUCUGAUAGGAUAAGGAUAUUAUUAUUUACUAUAAUUCACUGAAUACAUAGUAAGCGUAAGCUCUGAUAAUCUCACUGCAUUUCUGCACACCUUUCCUUUGAAAAAGCUUUUCUUGUCAAAAGUAGGUUUUGAACUGGUAGCAUCAUGGAACUGGUUGGAAUUCCAGUGAAUAAAUAAGAAGUCCCUCCCCAAAUACAAGUUUAUAAAAAUGAUUCGUUAAUAAUUUGAAAUAAAUGAAGCUUCACUCUGUCCAGAUGUAACAGAACAAAAAGUAGAUAAACAAAGUACAACUAAAUACAGAUAUCCCCUGCCUUAUGUUGGUACAACAGUCUUGAAGCCAGUGUUUUUCAGUCCUAAAAUAAUGAGUUUUGUGUGCCUGCCCCCAGUACGUAAAACAUUCACACAGACAUGUAAACUGUAAGAAUAUAUGGCACAGUUGCCUGACGUGAGUAUUUCAGACAAAAGUUUUUAGAAUGCCUGAAUGUAAGUUUUCUGAAUAUUUACUUCUACUGACAUAACAUAUUUCCCUCUGUAGAAGCCGAAGGCAACGAAUUCAUUAUUUAAAAUGGAGCCGUCAUGAAGCAGCUGAAGCUCUUGGUAAUCCAAUCCUCGAUUAACACAUCAACAAUCAGUAGUUUUAUUGUUGUGAUGGGCCCUUAUGGAGUCAUAAAUUCACAUCAGUAGUGGUGUUAUUCAGAGGUUAGUAGCUGCUCCAGUAUUUCCAAUUUUGUACUUUCCCAAACUAAUUGUCAUGAAGAUAUGUGGCAUUUUAAAAUACUGUGGAGCUUGAUUACCGCAAACCCAUGGAUAGAAAUCUAUGGCUUUGUCAAUUUGCCCAAGCUUAGCAUUUGAUCCAUUGUACAGAACAGAUCCAGGCAAACAGAAAACUUAAAGCAAUGAAAGAGGAAACCAGUGCCAGUAUUAGAAAGACCUAUCCAAUCCAGUAAUUCAUUUACUGUCAGAAUAGAAAAUGAUAUAUGAGUCUCUGGGUUAGGAUAUAGAAAUUUUAUCUAGAAAACAAGUUUUUACUGAUGAACUCAGCUAACAGAGCUGGAGAAAGAAAGCAAUCUGAGCUCGUCAUUGUCUUAGCUGAAAAAUAAAUAAGCAUUGAUGAGUAUAAUUAGAAGUGACAGGCACGAAAAUACUGUGAAAUUCAUAUACACUUGAAUGGAUACAAUUUUUUUUCUCCUUGACUACCUUUCAUAAUGUUUCAUUAACCUUGGUGGAUAACUUCAGCAAGGACAUUUAUUCACCAGAACCACGGAAGUUGGGCCGUUGUGUAUUGGUUAUGUAUAAAGAUGUUUUCUGUUCUGCCAGGAAAGCUCCUCUUCCAUUCCCUUUCCUUUUUCACUGGUUUCUUUUCUUUUCUCCUGAUAUUUUUUUGAUGCUGUGCAACUUCUUAAAAAAUAAAGGUCUUUAAUGUGUGUGUUCUAUAGCAAGCAGUAGAGUGCAAUUCUUUGACGCAUAUAUUCCAGGUCACCUUCUUCUCAUAUUUUUGCAUCACCUAACAUCACCUAACAUCUCCAUGGCCAUGAUAGAUUACUACCUCAUCUACUAGAUAAUUUUCUUUGACAUAACCUGCCCCUAUGUGUCUACACAGCUGAACUGAAAUGCCUUAAAAGUUAGAAAACUGGGUAUUUUUGGCAUCCUUUCCCCGACUCCAAUCUUCUCUGACCCAGCUUCUCCAGUUUUGCUUUCUGACACUGCUGCAGUUCUGUCUAGGAACCUGUUGCUGUCCCCACUUCACCCCGUGCAAUUCACAUGAACCUAGUGUCUCCCAGCUUUCAGGCAAUGAUUCAUACCUCCUACCUAAGCCUUAAGCUGUCA
ensembl:lncRNA